AUUGAACGCUGGCGGCAGGCCUAACACAUGCAAGUCGAACGGUAACAGGAAGAAGCUUGCUUCUUUGCUGACGAGUGGCGGACGGGUGAGUAAUGUCUGGGAAACUGCCUGAUGGAGGGGGAUCACUACUGGAAACGGUAGCUAAUACCGCAUAACGUCGCAAGACCACAGAGGGGGACCUUCGGGCCUCUUGCCAUCGGCUGUGCCCAGAUGGGAUUAGCUAGUAGGUGGGGUAACGGCUCACCUAGGCGACGAUCCCUAGCUGGUCUGAGAGGAUGACCAGCCACACUGGAACUGAGACACGGUCCAGACUCCUACGGGAGGCAGCAGUGGGGAAUAUUGCACAAUGGGCGCAAGCCUGAUGCAGCCAUGCCGCGUGUAUGAAGAAGGCCUUCGGGUUGUAAAGUACUGUCAGCGGGGAGGAAGGGAGUAAAGUUAAUACCUUUGCUCAUUGACGUUACCCGCAGAAGAAGCACCGGCUAACUCCGUG
rnacentral:rRNA from 1 species